UUUUGUCCCAGAUUUGCGGUGAGGAAAACUAGUGUCACAGAAUAGAUCGCCCCGUACAGUCUUACAUUCCUGCUUUGAAAUAUUAUUUCUCAGAACUGUAGUCAAGUUGCUUAACUUUUGUUGGAUCUCACUGUUCUCAUCUCUGCAUGGGCAGGCUGAAAUAAACCCUAAAGAGAGAAGUUCUAGUUUCAUCUGGUUGAAAGUCUUGGUGGUUUAAUCUGUGGCACCUCUCAGACCUCAGAGAGAAGCCUGGGGCUCGAACUCCCAACCCUGAGACCAAGCAUGACAUGCUUCACAGUCUGAGCAAGACUCCAGGAACGGAGUCUUGCAGAUAGGGGAAGAAGAUUGCUGGUGGAGGCGAGAGCACGAACCCUAAGAGAGAGAGAGCACGCACAAACGGGGCAGCAGCUGGGCGGAAGGAGCAGCAGACUCCCUGCUGAGCAGAGAACCCUAUGCUGGACUCCAUCCCAGGACCCUGGGAUCAUGACCCUGGCUGAAGGCAUAUGAUUAAUUAACUGAGCCACCCAGAUGUCCCCCCCCCUUUUUUUUAGGUGCCUCCUUUUAAAGGACACUCAGGAUCAAGGACAGUGUCUUCUUUCAUCACUAAAACUUGUUUCCAGUGAGUAUAGGUUACGUAUGGUCUCUUAAUUUAUCUCAGAAUAUUCUAGUGUUUUGCCAAUUUCUAUAAAAACAGAAAAUACAAUAAAACUUUGAUAAAUUUAUUAGUAGCUUAUUUGUUUAAAAAAAAAAAAAAGACAAAGCUAGACCUUUGGUCACAGAACUUCCAAGUUUUUUUUCUGUGUGAAGCAAUUUAUACCACAUCAUUGUCAAUUAAUUUUUAUUUUAUGAGCUCACAAGCAAUUAUAUAUCAAAGGCAUUCUUUGUAUUUAAUAGAGUCUUGAUAAAUGGGUCUACACAUAAGAAUUGCCUUGGGACUUUCUGUUUGUUGUUGCAUUAAGAAUGAAUAUGUCAUUUGCUUAGUACCUAACAAGGGCAGACACCCAGGGGUUUAAAACACACACACACACACACACACACACACAGACUUUGCUGGAAUUAAAUAAUAUUUAAUAAAAGUUAAUUGCAAAGGAUCACAUUUGGUUUUCAAAAAAUAACCCUUAAAAGGGGAGCAUUGACAUGGUCACCCGAAGAAACCUGCAAAAGCUUCCAGUGUCCAAAGCCGGAACAAUUUGAGCAACAAAACUAACAGAGUAUUGACUUGUUAUUCAAAGUGUAAUAAAUAUGCGUGAGUCCAACAGAUAUAAAUAAAUAACUGAAUGAAUAAAUAAAUGAGGGAGAAGAGGAC